rnacentral:lncRNA from 1 species
GUGUGUGUGUACACGUGUGCAUGCACAUGUGCAAUUUGAUUCCUUGCUCCUUUAGAGCUUAUGUGGUCACUUCCUUUUGUGUAAAGCAACAGCAGAGCGGGGAAAAAUUGCUUGGGUGAUAUUCUUUCUAUAGGUGAAAACGCCCCUAUGUAAAGCAAGGCCAAAGUACUAAGAAGUGUUUCAUGGAGCCAGCCACUGUCCAAGUUCCUUAUUCAGGGAGAAGAAGCUGAAUCAGCCGUUGUACAUACCCUGCUGCUAGUCUGCCUCUGCAGCCUGGAAAGGACCCCUCCUGCUACCAAGAAAACCCAAAUACUGUGCCCUUGACUUGGUAACAGAAAAAAAAUAGGGAUGAGUCUUGUGUUUGCUGUGCCAUACUCUGCAUUCUCCUUCUUUUCUUUAUAUCCAUGACAAUUCAUCUGGGACUGUUCCUGUUCCCUUUAGUGGCUGCAGACGAAUUCUGAAGUUACCUUUUUCCACUAGAUAUCCACCAAGUUCUGAGACAGGAACUCCUGCGGCUGAGCUGUGGGUAAACUGCAUUGAUUGCAACUUCUGUAAUCCGACUUGGUCCACCCCUGUCAUCUUGAUAAGUCAAACUCCUUUUGCCACUUCUUUUGUUGAUGUUACGAGCCUGGUUUUUUAAAGUUGUGGGGGAAAAAAAAGGUACUAUUUUUCAGCCUGUGAAUGACAGAUUUUUCACAGGGAUUUGCCUUUAACUUCUUUCAUGCUCUCCUGAAAUUAAUUUUUCUCAGUCUGAUGUUUCUAAAUUGCCUCUCUUCUAGUUCUUACAUUGUGCUUCUCUUUUGCUGAUGUGCUGAAGUGCACAAUUUGAACUUUUUUGUUUUGGUUUUGUUUUUCAAAACUUCAAGGAAAAGAAUAAUCUCCUCUAGUUGUCGAAGUUUACAUCAGGAGGAAGCAAACUGUACCCUAGGUCUGCUCCAUUCAUUAUAACCUUGGCAUUUUGAAUAUUAAAACCAAGAUAAGUAAAUUGACCAUAGUAUUUUUGACAUAACAUUAACGUAAGAGUGAAGAAGGUUAUUCCUCAGGUUUGUUCUACAGAUUUAUGUUUCAGGAAUUUGCAAUGGGUUCAUGUUGAUUUUACCCGAAAGUCUCCACAGAAAUCUUUUUUAAGAAUUUAAACUUACAUAUUCCUGACACACUGCAUCCCUUCCAAGUUUGUUUGGUGAUGCAGGAAAUUUUUCAAAUUUCUCUAGUGUAAGUUUCUUCACUUCACAGUAUUUUUUUUCUUCCCUUUCUGUUCUGUUCAUGAACAGAAGAAGAUUGAAUUAGUCUUAUCAGCUGAAACAAUAUGAUCUUUAUGAUUUCUGAAAUUUAAGCCAAGGGAGUAGAAAUGUAAUGGUGUCUACUUGUCAAGAUAGAUGGAAAUGUGAAAUUCAAACAAGGGAUCAUUGAGGAAUGCUAUUUUUAUUACAAGAUAUUUAUUUAACUAUACAAUAUUUUCUUCCUUCUGAGGUACCAUUAGAUAUAUAAUAUAAAGUAAGAAAAAAAAUGUUUAUUAUAUCAAUCUUCUUUUAUAAUAAAUUUAUCAAGUAGAAAGUGCA